AGCUUGAGAGAAAAUUUACAUUUCUGACAAAGCCUGAUGUGGAUUUGUGUAGGACGGAGGCACAUCAAUGCUGAUUUGAUCAGGAAUCAGAGGAGUAAUCAUAGAUCAGGACAGCUCUGUUUGGACUCUCAUUCUGACGGCACCCAUUCACCGCAGAGGAUCCAAUGCUGAGCAAGUGAUUUAAUGCUAAAUUUCUCCAAAUCUGUUCUGAUGAAGAAACAAACUCAUCUACAUCUUGGAUGGCCUGAGGUUCUCUGUCUGUCUCACCGCACUCGGAUCUCUGCUGUUUCUCGAUCUUCUCCAGGCGGCCCAGAAGAGAGUCGAUCUUCAUCUUGAUCUGAGUCAGUUCACGUUUGAUAGUCUGGAGUUGAUCGGACUUCACUGCAAAAGAAAAUGCAAUGAACACACAUGAGACAAGCUGAGAGGAGAACAGGACAGUGUGUACUAUUGUGAAGAGAGAAGAGCAACAUGUCUGCGAGAAAUUGACCCAUUAUAUAUUUGCACACAUAUUCUACUACAAGAAUAAAUGCAAAGUUUUUUUUUUCUUUCUUUCCUUAAAAUGCAUCUAAAUUCAACAUUGUGUUUACUCAAUAAAAUUAUGAAAUAAAUUGCAGUUAAA